rnacentral:misc_RNA from 1 species
GCAAACUUGGUCAUUUAGAGGAAGUAAAAGUCGUAACAAGGUAACCGUAGGUGAACCUGCGGUUGGAUCAUUACUUUUAUGGUUAGCCUCUUUAACUUUUUGGUUAAUCUUUAACGUUUAACCUUUGAGUUAAUUGGGUUAAAAACUUUGAGUAGGACUAUUAAAGUAUUUUUGGGUUAAUGUUAACCCAAAAGGUUAAACUUUUAUCUUUUUUGAGAAUAAUAUAUUUGGUUAAUGUUAAACAACUUUUGACAACGGAUCUCUAGGCUCUCGCAUCGAUGAAGAACGCAGC